CGGGGCGUAGCUCAGUUGGCUAGAGCGCCUGGUUUGGGACCAGGAGGUCGCAGGUUCGAAUCCUGUCACCCCGACUA
rnacentral:tRNA from 1 species